rnacentral:rRNA from 1 species
GAGACAUGAAGUUAGGUCAGCAAACCCGCUGAAUUUAAGCAUAUAAGUAAGCGGAGGAUAAGAAACUAAAUAGGAUUCCCUCAGUAAUGGCGAAUGAACAGGGAAUAGCUCAGGAUGGAAAUCGGGGCCCCAGGCCUUGAAUUGUAAUCUGGAGAAGCACCACCAACUGGGGCGCAGAUGUAAGCCUCUUGGAAAAGAGCAUCGGAGAGGGUGAGAGUCCCGUCUGGCAUCUGCAGUCCCUAGUGUACGGUGUGCUUUCUAAGAGUCACGUUCCUCGGGAUUGGAGCGCAAAUCGGGUGGUAAAUUUCAUCUAAAGCUAAAUAUUGCUUCGAGACCGAUAGCAAACAAGUACCAUGAGGGAAAGAUGAAAAGGACUUUGAGAAGAGAGUUAAAAGUGCCUGAAAUUGCUGAAGGGGAAGCGAAUGGGACCAGUGAAACUUGGCAAGAUUGUCAUGUGCUAGCGGGAUUGCUUGCCACCUCAACGCAAGUGUGGUGGUGAGUCUUGAACGGGACGCACGUGGUGCUUCUUGCUUGGCGUGUCAUCGGCGCUCCGUGGCUGGGGAGAACCUCAGGGACGUGGUAGCCUGCCCCCGGGUGGGUGAAUGUGCUUGGUGGGCCUCACCUGCGGACUGCUCGACGGCUAAAUGGUCCCAUCCGACCCGUCUUGAAACACGGACCAAGGAGUCU